CCGCCAGGAAACUUUUUAGUUUAGGUCUUUUAAACCUAAAGCAAGUAGCUCCUCUACUCCAGGCG
rnacentral:tRNA from 1 species